UCUCCCUCUCCCUCAGUCCCUCCCAUGCCCCACCCAAUCUUCACCUCGCCGCUGCUCCUCCCAAUCCCGCCGCCGAUGCCUCCUCUGCCCCCAAACGACGGCGACAGGGACGCCGGCGCCCUCACCCGCCUUCCACCUCCCUCAACUCGUCUUCUCGAUGGUCGCCUUGGAGGAGCCUCCUUUAGCGCGCCACCGUGGUCGGGCUGCGGCGACCACCAGAGGUUCGCCACCGGCAGGAGUUCCCUCCUUGUCCACCACAAGGCACCGGCAGAGGAGGAUGACUCCUCCUUCCACCCCUAGCCACGGCGUCCAACCUCUAACACCGCCUGAAACCCUAGCCCGAAUCCGGCAGAGGAGCAGCAGCAUGAGAUCCCCUCCAAAAGUGGCAUCUUCUUCUUCCUCUGGUUCUUCGUCUUCUUCCCCGUAUCUGAUGCGUGUGUGUGUUCACGUGGUGUGUGCAGGCAGUUGAAGGAAGGGGCAGGCCAUGGAUAAGCUGCACGGUGCGGGCACCGAGCCUGACGCAUGGAUGGAAGGUACCUCUCUUGCCCAUCUCCUCUGUCUGUCUCUGUUCGAUUCUGUCUAGAUGGAGAUGGUCGUAGGUUUCGGUGGACUAAAAUUCUGCCAAUGUAUACAACUCAAUAUCUUCUAACUGAACAUUACUUCAGUUCUUGUAAAUACAUAGUGUUCCCAAUUCCCAUACCCCUACUUGUAUGUUGCCCUUCUGUUUCGGAAAGCAAAAUAAUUUUUUUCUGGAAAUAAUGCUUGAUAUUCUUUACUUAACAAAAAUUAAUUUCCAUUUGUAGCAUUAUUCAGUUUUGCUGAUAGACUGUUAAUUUUUGUUUUACUUGGUUUCUUUCCAUUUAACUGGAUGUAUAUAGUGGCACUGUAUAUUUAUCCAAGUGAUUAUAGUAAUAUGUCACUAUUGGUUUCAUCCGUAGAGAAAAAUGACAUUUGGCAGAUCUUUGAUUCUUCGUAAACAUGAAGAAGUACGAUAUAAAUUUGUUUAAUCAGACCAACUUCUAUUAAUGCAAAAUUGUUAUGUGACCUACUGGGACAAGAUAUUUUGGUAAGCAUGUGAGCCUAUGGUGAUAAUAAAACUGAAACAUGUACCUGCUAAAAUAGUGCAGUAACCUUUGUUCUUUUCAUUCUAGAUAUCUGGAUAUUGAAUUUAUAGUUUGCUGCAGAGCUACAACCUAUGGCGAUGAGGAAACUUAAACAUGUAGUUGCUCAAAUAAUGCAGUCACCUUUGUUCUUCUUUCUAGAUAUAUGGAUAUUGGAUUUACAGUUUGCUGCAGAGCUACAAGCUAGCGCUUUGUCUCAGUUUUUAUUAAGGUGCUUCUAUUUGAGAUUGCGACAUUAGACAAUAUAAAAACUCAAUUUCUAUGAUAGCACUUUGUCUCAGUUUUUAUUAGGGUGCUUCGCUUGGAUCCCGCUCGAGCGCAUCGGCUAGAUUCGCCCGAUUCGUUUGCUUGUCACGACAUCACUUUGACGGAUCGCCUGUGUCGCCGGUGGUGCCAAUAUUACUUCAGCUUUGGUGUGUGAUUUUUCUGCAAUGGGCAGAUUUGGACGGCACUUUGUUGUAGUAUGCCUUGAAUACGUGCACUGGAAGGAAGCACUUUCUUCCACUGUAACAUAGUAGUAUGCUCGUAGCAGUAGAUAGUUUCUUUUUCACUCAAAUAAGGCACAUGCUCUAUAUUGGAUAGAACUGUUGACCACUUCAGUUCACCUGAAAGUUUUGCUUCUCUGAACUUUUGAACUUUUGAGUUGGUCUAGGUAGUUCGUGAUUCUGUUCCGAAAGAAUGGAAUAUAUUGAUCUAAAGAUGGAUCAGAUUAAUAGUCGCAUUACCAAACCACCAGAUAAGAUGAAAUCAUACUAUGAUUUGGAUUUUAUGUUUUACUGGGCCUCCCCAAGCAAAUCCCAAGUAUUUAGCGUACUACUAUUAUAGAGUACACUGUGUUAAGAUGCCAGAAUUUAAAUAAAAGUCUAAAACAGUUCUAAGAGCUAAUGUGUGAUCAGAACUAUAUUUGUAUUAGUUCAAGGGAUUUGAUAUGCGUAACCGUUGUUGCAUCACAUAUUAUUAUUAGUUGUCUCUUACUUGCUCAAUGGUACACGUAAAGUAUGGGAUGUUGUUGAGGUAUCGGGCAGGAACGUGAUGCAAACAUCAUCAGUUGUCACAACUUCAGUUGUAACGCACAGGUAAUGUACAUACACUGAAUUGCAUCCAUGCUUUCAAAACUUCAAAUGUUUUUGGUUCAGCAACAACUAGUCAUAACCUAAAUCUUUUGCGCAGUAAUGAUCGUUUGAUGCCGCCGGUUGAUUGGAUUGUUGAUAUUGUCUUCUCCUUUUUGCAGGUACGGCGACCAAGCAGGAGAGAUAACACAAGACUACCUCCACGCCGCCGGUUCGAAUGUCAUGUUCUCUGUGAAUUCUAAUCUCGUAAACAAAAUCUUUUUUCAGGUCACAGCAUCAACUCCUCUCCCUGCAAUCGAGUCUUCAGAAGGAAUUACCAGGACCGAUUCUUUGCCGUCAGGUUCGGAACCCUUGUCUCCUGUAGCUCAAUCACCUUAGAGCAGAUCCAUCUAAGGUUCUCCGUUCGUCUACAGCCAUAUCAGCAUCAGGACUGAGUAUGCUAGCUGGAACUACAUCAAUACCUAAAAGGAGGUGAUCGAUGCUGACAAGUGCGGCCCGGUGGCGCUGUGCUCUUCACCCACUCAGAGGCGGACUUCGCCGUGAAGCCCGGUGGCCACGUCGCACAGAUGAUCGUCCAGGUGAUUUCGACGCCGGAAGUCGCCGAUGUGGAGGACCUCGAUGCCACCGUCUGCGAGAGGGAGGAUUCGUGUCCAGCGGCGUCUGAACUCCUAUCCUUGUAGAUACAUCUAGAGAGUUGGUCUGUUUAGGUUGGUGGCCACUAGGGAAGGUACCCACCUUACGACGAUGGUUGUGUGUAUCUGAUGUUAAAUGGAAUCUUGAGAUGGUUCUGUGAGUUGGUUUGGUUUGCAAUGGACGUAUUACCAUUCAUGAGUACUA